rnacentral:rRNA from 1 species
CACGUAGGGCGCAAGCGUUUGUCCGGAAUUAUUGGGCGUAAAGAGCUCGUAGGCGGUUUGUUGCGUCGGCUGUGAAAUCCCGAGGCUCAACCUCGGGUCUGCAGUCGAUACGGGCAUCACUGGAGUUCGGCAGGGGAGACUGGAAUUCCUGGUGUAGCGGUGAAAUGCGCAGAUAUCAGGAGGAACACCGGUGGCGAAGGCGGGUCUCUGGGCCGAUACUGACGCUGAGGUGCGAAAGCGUGGGGAGCAAACAGG